UCUAAACCCGCAUUAGCAUGUGAAGAUAGAGAAGAAGAGGAGCAAAAGUGGCUCGGCCUUGUCCGAAGUCUGCUCUCGGCAGCUGGCCUCGAUGACAGUGUGCAGAAGAACUCAUUUUUCUCAAGAUGGCAUUCUCUUGAUAACCCAUUGGAUCCAUCAUUGAGAAACAACUUUGCCAACCUAAGUGAUAAAGAACCAGAACAGGAGGCGAAAAGAAGGCAAUCAAGAUCGAACUGGAAGCUCAUCUUUGAUAGCGUCAAUGCAGUCUUGGUAGAAAUUACAGGAUUUCGGUCAGAUAUGAGCACGAUGGCGAUGUCGUCCUACUGGGUUCAUCCUGAUGCUCCCUCACACCCCUUGGUAGACAUUGUGUGGGACCAAUUGAAGGAUUGGCUGUCGGGUGAAACGCAAUGUGUUGGUUGUGAGAUUGGGGACGGUAACAGCCUGGUGG
rnacentral:misc_RNA from 1 species